GAAAGAGAAUAGACAAAAAGGGGCAUAGGAUUCCAUACUUAUCGCAACGAGUACUGAUGCGCUAAUUGCAACUGGCUACAAGCCUUUCGUUACAAAUCUUGCCUAACAUCAUGCAGCAAAGUCUAUGGAAAAGACAAAGCCUACGCACAUUUAAGCAUUUGACAAAAAAUACCGUCUAACUACUUUCGAACACACUAUUGGAUCAGCCCUAGUGUUUUGGACCCACUGAGCUGGCCUUCGUUUUAUACCGUCGAAACAACCUUUCAAGAGGAAUACCGCAGGGGUAUUGUAGGGUUCAUAGUUUUAUUUCACUAAAUGAUUUUUUCUGUUUGUAAAUCAAAAAUAAAAUUUGGUUCUUUCUCAAAUAUUUCUUAAACUGUUGGCAACUGUAUUUUAUUCAAUCUUAAACAGAAUUUCUGAAAAUGCUUGAUAUUUUCACCACUACAAUACAUAUAUAAGUAAAAGAUAUUAGAGGUUUUGUUAUAAUUAAAUUGUUUAUUAAUUUUCAUGUUUCCGGUUUGCAAUCACAUGCGUUACAACAAUGCGAUUGUAACUGAACCAAACAAAAAUCAAAUUAUUAAAAAAAUAAUGUUACCUAUGCGAUUGUGUUGCUUAAACCUAGUUUCUAUUUGUUGAAAUUAAUUUAAAAACGAUCAAGUUAAAUAGUUUCCUCGGUACACAUCUUAUUGCAGUUUUACAAGUUGAAUUUGUUGCUUUCUGUUCUACCCUUUUAAAUUUUUUCUUAUAAACUUACAUGUUAUCUAGCAUUAUAUCAGUUGUCUACAGAUAUAGAAUAGUAUAA